rnacentral:rRNA from 1 species
UGGGGAAUUUUGGACAAUGGGCGCAAGCCUGAUCCAGCCAUGCCGCGUGAAGGAUGAAGUAUUUCGGUAUGUAAACUUCGAAAGAAUAGGAAGAAUAAAUGACGGUACUAUUUGUAAGGUCCGGCUAACUACGUGCCAGCAGCCGCGGUAAUACGUAGGGACCAAGCGUUGUUCGGAUUUACUGGGCGUAAAGGGCGCGUAGGCGGCAUGACAAGUCACUUGUGAAAUCUCUGGGCUUAACCCAGAACGGCCAAGUGAUACUGUCGCGCUAGAGUGCAGAAGGGGCAAUCGGAAUUCUUGGUGUAGCGGUGAAAUGCGUAGAUAUCAAGAGGAACACCUGAGGUGAAGACGGGUUGCUGGGCUGACACUGACGCUGAGGCGCGAAAGCCAGGGGAGCAAACGGGAUUAGAUACCCUCGUAGUCCCUGAGCGGGCUGGCAAGGCGCAU